rnacentral:rRNA from 1 species
GAUGAACGCUGGCGGCGUGCCUAAUACAUGCAAGUCGAGCGAACAGACGAGGAGCCUGCUCCUCUGACGUUAGCGGCGGACGGGUGAGUAACACGUGGAUAACCUACCUAUAAGACUGGGAUAACUUCGGGAAACCGGAGCUAAUACCGGAUAAUAUAUUGAACCGCAUGGUUCAAUAGUGAAAGACGGUUUUGCUGUCACUUAUAGAUGGAUCCGCGCCGCAUUAGCUAGUUGGUAAGGUAACGGCUUACCAAGGCGACGAUGCGUAGCCGACCUGAGAGGGUGAUCGGCCACACUGGAACUGAGACACGGUCCAGACUCCUACGGGAGGCAGCAGUAGGGAAUCUUCCGCAAUGGGCGAAAGCCUGACGGAGCAACGCCGCGUGAGUGAUGAAGGUCUUCGGAUCGUAAAACUCUGUUAUUAGGGAAGAACAAAUGUGUAAGUAACUAUGCACGUCUUGACGGUACCUAAUCAGAAAGCCACGGCUAACUACGUG